GACGAACGCUGGCGGCGUGCUUAACACAUGCAAGUCGAACGGAAAGGCCCUGCUUUUGUGGGGUGCUCGAGUGGCGAACGGGUGAGUAACACGUGAGUAACCUGCCCUUGACUUUGGGAUAACUUCAGGAAACUGGGGCUAAUACCGGAUAGGAGCUCCUGCUGCAUGGUGGGGGUUGGAAAGUUUCGGCGGUUGGGGAUGGACUCGCGGCUUAUCAGCUUGUUGGUGGGGUAGUGGCUUACCAAGGCUUUGACGGGUAGCCGGCCUGAGAGGGUGACCGGGCACAUGGGGCUGCGGGAGGGGCCCGGACGCAAUGGGGGGGAAGGGGUGGGAAAUUUAGGAAGAGGGGCGGAGGGGGGGAGGAAGGACCCCGGGUUGGGGAUGACGGUCUGCGGGUUGGAACCCGAUUCGGCUUGUAACCGAGGUGAGUGACGGUAAAUGGAGAAGAAGGCCCCGGUAACUCCGUG
rnacentral:rRNA from 1 species